rnacentral:lncRNA from 1 species
UAAAAUACCAUAAGGUUCAAAACAUUUAAAAUACUGAUAAUGAAUAAUAACAUCUAAAGCUGAAAUACUGUUUGAAAAGCCUUUAACUAAAAUUAUCUGAAAGUGGAGUUGAUGGGAUAAGCCCCCAACUAACUCUGACUAUUGAGCUACUACUAAAUUUAAAUACUGAAUUAAGAAGCAUAUCCUCAAUAGAUAAGGACUCACUGCUAAAUCUGCUACUGUUGACUGAAUCUGGCUAAGCGCUGUCAGGAACAUGAGCAUCCGAACCUAUGAUAUAAAACAUCAUAGCACAAGAAACGAGUAUGCGAUCAGUACGUGGGAAUGUACUGGUAUGCUAAAUGAGGUAAGGCUGAAUGCAAGGGUUCAUAUGCAUAAACAAUAACUGACUAAAUGAUAUAGAGUAACUGAAUAUAAUAGUACGUGUAUACUAUAACUGAGCUUUUCCGAAACUAAGUACUGAGUUCUAAUAACUGUAUAAUUGAUAUAUGAAGUUACUGAUAACUGAUUUACUGAUACUUAUUGACUGUAGCUGAUAGUCCUGAUACUGUAGAACUGAACUGAUUUCUAGACUGAAGACUAAAACUGUGGGAGGUAAUCAUCUAACUGACAUGCCCCAAUAAGAUAAAAUACUGAGUUGGGGUCCAAUCUGUAACCCUAAUUAGAAGGGUGUCGGUACCGUGCCACGGAUAAAAACAACUGUUGUGGAGUCGGUCCUAACUAAUGGGUGACCCCUAAGAUCAGUCCUAAACUAACGGGUGAUCCCUGAGCAUGUCAGUCCUAUCUAAUGGGUGACAUCUCAUAACCUACGCUGGCUAUGUAGUUCUAGAACUUAUGGAUUGAUUCUAGGGACCCAGUCCUAACUGAAGGAUGAGACCCCAUCCCUAGGCUCACUCGGUGCUGAAUCCUACUCCCAACUGAAUAGACAUUGAAUUGAUUAUACUGAACUGGACUUGGACUGAUACAGAGUUUACUGAGUUUUCCUGAGUUCUACUGAUCAUGACAUGACUGAUACUAUUCCGUAACUGACACAGGCUCUAGAUAAACAACUAGAUUAUCGGAUAUUAAAUACCCCCAGGACUCGAUAGCAGGAAAGUAAAGUAUAGCAAUGAUCUUGAAUAACUUACAUUGUUCACUUGUACAUAUACUAGCAUGUCAUGAUUGCAUCAUUUAAUUCAUAUGGACAUUCUACCAAACACUUGGGGUGCACAACUUAAUGCACAUAUUCACGGAUAACAUAUAAACAUGGUAACUACAAUGCCCAACUUGCAAUUUCAUGGGUUUAACAUGCUAUUCAUAUAAUUUUGCUUAAGUACUAUUCUAGUUUCAUGAAUCUUAUCAUAAUCAUAGAUUUAAAACUAAAUUAACAUCAUCGAUACAUUAAUCACUUUGUAAACUCAAGGGUUUAUCAAGAUAAUCACAUAUUUAUCACACAUGCUAUUCAAUUUCAUGAAACUUGCACCUAAAUCAUGGAUUAAAACCCAACUAAUAUCAUGAACCUGAAUUCAAUCUAAUUCAAACAUGAAAAUCAUAAAUCUUGUAUUUUGAAAAAAAGAUUUUUGGGCUCCAUGGAAGGUAAGGAUCCAUGGAUGAACAUCAAACAUACCUUAAUUUAAUGAGUUCUUGGAGUUCUUGGAGAAAUUCUUGGGACUGACCUUGAUUCUUGAGAGCUAGGGUUUGUUUUCUUGAGAGAAAAAUACCUUUUGAUCUUGGAGAAAAGUGAAUAAUGAAGGGUUUUACACGUUUUUAGGGCUUAAAUCCUACAUUUGGGCGGAAUAAAAUCAUGGGAAAAGAUCGUUUUAACCUUAGGCGCAACUUUAAUUUUUUGUGAAAUUUUUCCGAUCUGGACCCCUAGCGCGAUGCGCCACUAUCGUGCCAGGCCACUGAAAAAUGACGACUGAAAAAUUGCAUGGUGGCGCGAUGCGGUACAAUCGCGUUGCCACCUUAGACGCAACCUGAAAGUUCAUCGCGAUGCGGUGGUAUCGCGUUGGAACACUGAAAAAGGACAAUUCUGAAAUUAAGCCUUGGUGCGACGCGCCAAUAUUGCGGAGGCUCACUGAUUUUUGACAAUUGCCAUUUUAGCUGGCUCCGCGAUGCACUGAUGGUUCAGGUGGUAUACUGUCAUACUAAAAUGACUCUAACUCUUUGCCCAGGUGUCGGAUUUGGGCGAAUUUGGUAUCAAUCUUAUUCAAUUUCCCACUCAAUGAAAAGACAAAAUCUUGAAAAUUUCACAUGUAUAAAAGUGUAUUCAUCUUUAAAACAAGUCUUUGACAUUUUUGGGACAAAUUUAAGCUAGGUCAAAGUACGGGGUGUUACAGUCUAUCAAGAAUAUAGAUAAGAUUUAUCAAGAUCUAUUUGAUAUCUACUAGUAUAUGAAAUAUCUAUCUUUUAGAGUGAAACUAGGAGUAUUUUCUCUGGAUUUUUGUUCAUUGUAUCCUCAAUUUGAUGAUCUCUCAUCCGUAGAGAAAUAAAGAAGUCUCCUCUCUUAUCUGUCUAUUUAUUUUUGUUGUUCUUACUCUGUAUUUCAUAACAAGAACCUUAUUAUUGUUAUUUUUGUUUUUUUGUGUGCGUAGAUGAAGGGAAUGAAAGUUGAUUCAUUCUUAUGAAAAAAGAUCAAUAUUAUUGGAAAUUUUCAACUCUUCACGAGACAUGCCACAUUUUGUCACUCCAACAAAAUGUAUAUACAUUACUCGUAGCAAACAAUUACAUAGCAUAUAAGACAUAUUAACCCAAGCAAAUUUUGUUAAUUUGGCAAAGAUUUAUGAAAAUAACAACAUUAAAAAAAAUUUAUGAAAGUGUCUAGUCAAGACAUAGGUUGUGAACAAGUGAAGCAAAUUUGACAAAAAACUCCACCUGGAAGAUACGUGACAAUCUGGUCCCUCUGGUUUGAAAAUGACAAAUAGGACCUAAAAUGACUUUUUAAAGUUGUUAAAAAAUAAUUUUUAAAAUUUUAAAUUAUGUUUGAAUAUGUAUUUUAUUUGUAAAAUUUUAAUAUUAUUCGAGUGGAGGUGAAAUUUCAAAUAAAAACUGCUCUAGGUCAGUUUUUAAAACUUAAAAAUAAAUUUUAAAAAGUUGAUCAAAUUAAACAAACAGUGUUUUCAAUGUUCUUUUUUUUUUUUUUUUUGAAAAAAAAUCAACUUCUAAAAUCUAUGAUUCAAUGUUAGCUAGAUCACAUCCAAAAUAAUAGGAAUAAUUAUUUAAAUUAUGAUCAAAUACUAUAAUUUUCAUUAAAACAAAAUAAUUUUUUUUAAAAAAAUAAAAAAUUCUCUUGAUCAAAUACCUAUUAAAUAUUUUUAUCCAAACAAGUGUCACGUAACUCUUGGGUAGGUGAGGUGGUGGGAAUGGAGGCUGUCGGCGUAGGCCUAUGGGGUAAAGAUGAAGUAUGUUUGAACGACAUGAAGAAAGAGAAUACUUGUGGGAUUUAGUUUUCUUUUGUUUUUUUUUUAUAAAAAAUAUAUUAUUUUCAUAUGGAGAGUGUUGAAUUGGGUUUGGUUCAGACCAAAAAAGUUAGAGAAACUGUUGAGGAAACAAGGUCUAAAAGGAAAUUCAUACAGAAUAUUGUAUGGGGACAUGGAAGAUUCUUCUAUGAUGAUUAAGGAAGCUUACUCAAAGCCUAUGAAUCUGUUUGAUGAUGAUAUAGCCCCAAGGAUAUUGCCUUUUAUUCUUGAAA